UACGGAGGGUGCAAGCGUUGUUCGGAAUCACUGGGCGUAAAGCGCGUGUAGGCGGUCCGCUAUGUCUGAUGUGAAAGCCCGGGGCUCACCCCCGGAAGUGCAUUGGAAACUGACGGACUCGAGUCCCGGAGAGGAGAGUGGAAUUCCUGGUGUAGCGGUGAAAUGCGUAGAUAUCAGGAGGAACACCGGUGGCGAAGGCGGCUCUCUGGACGGUGACUGACGCUGAGACGCGAAAGCUAGGGGAGCAAACAGG
rnacentral:rRNA from 1 species